rnacentral:rRNA from 1 species
AGUGAACGCUGGCGGUAGGCCUAACACAUGCAAGUCGAACGGCAGCACAGUAAGAGCUUGCUCUUACGGGUGGCGAGUGGCGGACGGGUGAGGAAUACAUCGGAAUCUACUUUUUCGUGGGGGAUAACGAAGGGAAACUUACGCUAAUACCGCAUACGACCUACGGGUGAAAGCAGGGGAUCUUCGGACCUCGCGCGAUUGAAUGAGCCGAUGUCGGAUUAGCUAGUUGGCGGGGUAAAGGCCCACCAAGGCGACGGAACGUAGCUGGUCUGAGAGGAUGAUCAGCCAACCUGGAACUUCUGAACAGUACAAACUCCACUGGGAGGCAGCAGUGGGGAAUAUUGGACAAUGGGCGCAAGCCUGAUCCAGCCAUACCGCGUGGGUGAAGAAGGCCUUCGGGUUGAAAAGCCCUUUUGUUGGGAAAGAAAAGCAGCAGGUUAAUACCCCGCUGUUCUGACGGUACCCAAAGAAUAAGCACCGGCUAACUACGUG